GCAGGACCAGAGAAGCACCAAGCUGUAGCACUUCGUGUUAGUGCAGAUCAAUCUGUCAUCAACCGUUGCCUUAUAGAUGCAUUCCAAGACACUCUCUAUGCACAUAACUAUCGACAGUUCUAUAGAGAUUGCUCCAUAACUGGAACAAUUGACUUCAUAUUUGGUAAUGCAGCUGUUGUUCUCCAAAAAUGCCAAAUUAUCGCUCGAAAGCCUAUGGCAAAACAGAAGAACAUGGUCACUGCACAGGGUCGUAUAGACCCAAAUCAAAACACUGGAACAUCAAUCCAGGACUGUAACAUUAUUGCAAGCCCUGACCUUGAAUUAGUACAAAAUUCCUUCCCUACAUAUCUUGGUAGGCCAUGGAAAGAGUAUUCGAGGACCGUGGUGAUGCAGUCUCACAUUGGUGGGCAUAUUGAUCCUGCAGGUUGGGCAGAGUGGAAUGGGGAUUUCGCAUUAAGGACUUUGUAUUAUGGUGAGUAUGCAAAUAGGGGGCCAGGCGCAGGCACUAGCAGGCGAGUGAAGUGGCCUGGUUACCAUGUGAUUACAGAUCCAAAUGAGGCCAGGAAAUUUACUGUUGCAGAGUUGAUACAAGGGGAAGCAUGGCUAAGUUCCACUGGAGUUUCUUACACUGAAGGACUAUAAUUGAAGAAAAACAUGUGCUACUCUCUCAGUUUCAGGC
rnacentral:misc_RNA from 1 species